UACGGGGGGGGCAAGCGUUGUUCGGAAUUACUGGGCGUAAAGGGCUCGUAGGUGGCCAACUAAGUCAGACGUGAAAUCCCCAGGCUUAACCUGGGAACUGCGUCUGAUACUGGAUGGCUUGAAUUCGGGAGAGGGAUGCAGAAUUCCAGGUGUAGCGGCGAAAUGCGUAGAUAUCUGGAGGAAUACCGGUGGCGAAGGCGGCAUCCUGGACCGAGAUUGACACUGAUGAGCGAAAGCCAGGGGAGCAAACGGG
rnacentral:rRNA from 1 species